rnacentral:lncRNA from 1 species
CAACAAAACUUUCAAACUCCAUGGUGGCUUAGAAAAGUUCCAGUUCAACAGGAAGAUGAGUCCUCACUUUAGAUUCCUCACUUAGCUUUUUACUUCCCAAGGGUUGGAGAUAAAAUUGAAACUGGAUAUGCAAAAUUCCUACCACAGUGGUGAGUUGGCCCCACAGCAUCCCCUCAGGUUAUCUGUGGAGAAACUGGAAACAGGACCCAGGGGGACCUUCUUUACAGGAUUUGGGUUCCUGGAGCAGCUUGAUUUUGCUCAGACUUCUGAUCUUUUGGGAAAACUGGAUCUGGGAUAAAGAGGAUAAUAACCGUACCAGCUUCACCAGCCCGUGGAGAGAACAGCUGAAGAGAGCAUGUGAAAUUGCUGUGAUGAAUAGCAGAAGAGGGGAAGGCUUCUGGCAGUGAGGGAGAUCUAAGCAGCACAUCAGGCCAGGAAGCAAACUGAGAGAAAACUUUUUUGGCCAGGAUUGAAUUAGGAGUGGUGGAUGGUGUUAAAGAACUGAAAGCCAACAGGUUCUCUGUGCAAAAGAAAACCAAAGAAAAAUGAAUGCAUCAAAAUAUGUGACUUAAAUCUUGUCUAAAUUAAAGAAGAAACACUAAAGUGCUG